AUACAAAUAUGUAAGGGCACUAGGCGAAUGCCUUGGUGACAUGAGGCGAAGAAGGACGUGGUUAACUGCGAUAAGCUUCGGGGAGCGGCAAGCACGCUUUGAUCCGGAGAUUUCCGAAUGGGGAAACCCGGCUGGUUUCAUAACCAGUCAUUCUGCACUGAAUACAUAGGUGCAGAGAGCGAACCCGCAGAACUGAAACAUCAUAGUAAGCGGAGGAAAAGAAAGUGAAAACGAUUUCCCUAGUAGUGGCGAGCGAACGGGGAACAGCCUAAACCAUCGAGAUUUAUCUCGGUGGGGUCGUAGGACUUCAAUGUGGGACUUUUAGAGAUAGACAAAUAACCUGGAAAGGUUAGCCAAAGAGGGUGAUAGCCCCGUAAUCGAAAUUGAAGAAAGCCCUAGAAGUAUCCUGAGUAGCACGGGACACGUGAAAUUUCGUGUGAAUCAACGCGGACCACCGCGUAAGGCUAAAUACUACAUGUCGACCGAUAGUGAACUAGUACCGCGAGGGAAAGGUGAAAAGAUCCCCUGUUAGGGGAGUGAAAUAGUACCUGAACCCUAGUGCCUACAAGCGGUCGGAGCUCCUUUAUGGAGUGACGGCGUACCUUUUGCAUAAUGGGUCCGGGAGUUAUUAUUUAUAGCAAGCUUAAGGCCUUACGGGCUGGAGGCGUAGCGAAAGCGAGUCUGAAUAGGGCGUUCAGUUAUAGGUAAUAUACCCGAAACGGAGGUGAUCUACCCAUGGCCAGGUUGAAGCUUAGGUAAAACUAAGUGGAGGACCGAACUCGUGAACCUUGAGAAGUUCUGGGAUGAGCUGUGGGUAGGAGCGAAAGACUAAUCAAACCCCGUAAUAGCUGGUUCUCUCCGAAAUAUAUUUAGGUAUAGCCUCAUGCGCUGACUACCGGGGGUAGAGCACUGAAAAGGAUAGGGCCCUUACCGGGGUACCAAACCUUAUCAAACUCCGAAUACCGGUGGGUGAAGCAUGGGAGUCAGACUGUGGGGGAUAAGCUUCAUGGUCAAAAGGGAAAGAGCCCAAACCACCAAUUAAGGCCCCAAAAUCGUCGCUAAGUGGGUUAAAGGAGGUGAAUCUACUCAGACAAUAGGGAUGUUGGCUUAGAGGCAGCCACCAUUUAAACAGUGCGUAAUAGCUGACCUAUCGAGUGGGUUUGCGCCGAAGAUGAACGGGACUAAAGCGAUGUGCCGAUAUUGUGGACUUUCAUAGCUUGCUAUGGGAGUGGUAGGAGAGCGUUCUGGUCGGGCUGAAGCCAAAGCGGCAAGCGAUGGUGGACUAACCAGAAGUGAGAAUCCGGACAUGAGUAACGAUAAAUACGGUUAAAAUCCGUAUCGCCGUAAGGAUAAGGUUUCCUGGGGAAGGUUCGUCCGCCCAGGGUUAGUCGGGAGCUAAGGCGAGGCCGUAAGGAGUAGCCGAUGCACAACAGGUUAAUAUUCCUGUACAACUUAGUGCGCGUUAUACCCUCGGAGUGACUGAGGAGGCUAAUUCAGCAUUCGAAUGAAAGUGAAUGUCUAAGCGUUGAGGCCGUUUGAUAGGUAAAUCCGUCAAACAAUAGGCUAGGGCGUGAUGGGACCCCAAAGCUACGGCAGAGGGGGAUUGAAUGACGUCAUGCUUACAAGAAAAGCUUCGUUGGAAGUACACUAGGUUCCCGUACCGCAAACCGACACAGGUAUCCGGGAUGAGUAUUCUAAGGCGCGUGAGUGAACUCUCCAUAAGGAACUCUGCAAAUUCACCCUGUAUCUUCGGUAGAAAGGGUGCCCGUCGCAAGAUGGGCCGCAGUGAAGAGGUCCAACCGACUGUUUAGCAAAAACACAGCUCUCUGCAAAAUCGCAAGACGAUGUAUAGGGAGUGACACGUGACCAAUGCGGAAAGGUGAAAGCCUGAGGUGCAAGCUUCGGGUCUAAGCCCCCGUGAAUGUCGGCCGUAACUAUAACGGUCCUAAGGUAGCGAAAUUCCUUGUCGGGUAAGUUCCGACCUGCACGAAUCGUGUAACGAGUUGGACGCUGUCUCGUGGAGACGCUCAGUGAAAUUGUAGUCGCGGUGCAGAUGCCGCGUUCCCGCAGCAGGACGGAAAGACCCUAUGGACCUUUACUGUAACCUGGUAUUGUCGUUUGAUUUUUGAUGCGUAGGAUAGGUGGGAGGCUUCGAUGCAGCACUUCAGGGUGUUGUAGAGCCGACGGUGAAAUACCACUCUUUAAUGAUUAGACGUCUAACCUUGAAUCCGUUAUCCGGACAAGGGACAGUGCUAGGGGGUCAGUUUGACUGGGGCGGUCCCCUCCUAAAGAGUAACGGAGGGUCGCGAUGGUUUCCUCAAGCCGGUUGGCAAUCGGCUUUAGAGCGCAUGUGUAUAAGGAAGCUUUACUGUGAGACAUACAAGUCGAGCAGUUGCGAAAGCAGGCACAAGUGAUCCGGUAGUCGGGCGUGGAACCGCUAUCGCUUAAAGGAUAAAAGGUACCCUAGGGAUAACAGGCUGAUAGUGCCCAAGCGUUCAUAGCGACGGCACUGUUUGGCACCUCGAUGUCGGCUCAUCACAUCCUGGGGCUGGAGAAGGUCCCAAGGGUUUGGCUGUUCGCCAAUUAAAGUGGUACGUGAGCUGGGUUCAAAACGUCGUGAGACAGUUUGGUCCUCUAUCCGCUGUGGGCGUAGGAGAUUUGAGGGGUUCAUUCCCUAGUACGAGAGGACCGGGAAUGACGAGCCUCUGGUGUUCCGGUUAUCAUGUCAAUGGUAGCGCCGGGUAGCUAAGCUCGGAAUGGAUAAGCGCUGAAAGCAUCUAAGCGCCAAGCCGUUCCCAAGAUAAGAUCUCCCUGAAGAGUCCUAGAAGACCACUAGGUUGAUAGGCUGGAUGUGUAAGUGCAGUAAUGCAUUGAGCUAACCAGUACUAAUGGCUCGUUCGUUUUGUUUUG
rfam:Verrucomicrobia bacterium GWF2_51_19 gwf2_scaffold_2845, whole genome shotgun sequence.